rnacentral:rRNA from 1 species
GACGAACGCUGGCGGCGUGCCUAAUACAUGCAAGUAGAACGCUGAAGGAGGAGCUUGCUUCUCCGGAUGAGUUGCGAACGGGUGAGUAACGCGUAGGUAACCUGCCUGGUAGCGGGGGAUAACUAUUGGAAACGAUAGCUAAUACCGCAUAACAGUAGAUAUUGCAUGAUAUCUGCUUGAAAGGUGCAAUUGCAUCACUACCAGAUGGACCUGCGUUGUAUUAGCUAGUUGGUGAGGUAACGGCUCACCAAGGCGACGAUACAUAGCCGACCUGAGAGGGUGAUCGGCCACACUGGGACUGAGACACGGCCCAGACUCCUACGGGAGGCAGCAGUAGGGAAUCUUCGGCAAUGGACGGAAGUCUGACCGAGCAACGCCGCGUGAGUGAAGAAGGGUUUCGGAUCGUAAAGCUCGGUUGUAAGAGAAGAACGAGUGUGAGAGUGGAAAGUUCACACUGUGACGGUAUCUUACCAGAAAGGGACGGCUAACUACGUG